rnacentral:rRNA from 1 species
GUCGAAGGGCAUCGCGGGGGAGUGCUUGCACUCCCUGGCGGCGACUGGCGCACGGGUGAGUAACACGUAUGCAACCUGCCCUCCACAGGGGGACAACCUUCCGAAAGGGAGGCUAAUCCCGCGUAAAUCUCCAGAGGGCAUCCUUUGGAGAGGAAAGCUUCUGCGGUGGAGGAUGGGCAUGCGGCGCAUUAGCUUGUCGGCGGGGUAACGGCCCACCGAGGCGACGAUGCGUAGGGGUUCUGAGAGGAAGGUCCCCCACACUGGUACUGAGACACGGACCAGACUCCUACGGGAGGCAGCAGUGAGGAAUAUUGGUCAAUGGGCGGGAGCCUGAACCAGCCAAGCCGCGUGAGGGAAUAAGGCCCUAUGGGUCGUAAACCUCUUUUGUCGGGGAACAAAAGCGGGGACGUGUCCCCGUCUGCGUGUACCCGAAGAAAAAGCAUCGGCUAACUCCGUGCCAGCAGCCGCGGUAAUACGGAGGAUGCGAGCGUUAUCCGGAUUUAUUGGGUUUAAAGGGUGCGUAGGCGGUAUGGUAAGUCAGCGGUAAAAGCCCGGGGCUCAACCCCGGCGAGCCGUUGAAACUUCCGUGCUAGAGAGGAAGAGAAGUAGGCGGAAUGCGCAGUGUAGCGGUGAAAUGCUUAGAUAUUGCGCAGAACUCCGUUUGCGAAGGCAGCCUACCGGCUUCUGUCUGACGCUGAGGCACGAAAGCGU